rnacentral:tRNA from 1 species
GGGCGGUUAGCUCAGUUGGUAGAGCACUACCUUCACACGGUAGGGGUCGUGAGUUCGAGUCUCGCACCGCCCA